rnacentral:lncRNA from 10 species
GCAAAAGUGAGCUACAUAAGCAGGUGCCCAGAUGCCCUGUCACCCACUAUUGAUGCACUGGUGGUGCUUUCUCAGUUUACAUCUGUAGCCACAUGGAUCGGAGAUCCCUCAUGACCUGAUGACAGAAGAGGAAAAAGGCUGAGCUUGGUUAAUGUACUGGUUGUCUCAUUAGGUGAAAGUAGGCUGGAAAUACACUGUGGCUGCACUAUGGCCCCACUUAGAUGGCCUGUGUACCUGCCAGAAGUAAGAAUAUAUAUAGACUCAUGGGCCUGGAAGGCAAACUGGAAGAUUAAAAACAAGGAAGUGUGGGGAAAAGGAACAUAACAUACCCGAGAAUGGGUAUACAGUGUGAUGAUUUUUGUAUUGCAGGUUAAUUCCCAUCAGAUAACAUCCACCACAGAAAAGGUACCAACCAAGCAGAUGGAAUGACUUAGCCAAAUAAUGUUAACCAGGCUUUGUUGCUGGCACCCCAAUGCUGGCAAAGUGAUCAAUGAACGGAGGAGCCAUGGUGGAGCAAAUGCAAGGGUUCAACGUCAUGGACUCAUCAAGUCUGAUCUAACUACUGCAUCAGUGAAUGUCCAGCUUGCCAGCAACAGAGACCAACACUUAGCCUGAUGUCACCAUUCCUCAAGGAAACCGUCUAGCCACUUGGUGGUGUUGAUGCAGAUAACUCCUCCCAAUAAACUUCCUGCAUGUGAAUCUCCAACACAGAGUGUUUUUGCCAAGAACUCAACCUAUGGCAGCAGCAAACCUCUGUGACUCAAGGAAAUCUCAGUUGGAUGUCCUGUCUCAUCUACUCAAGACCAGUAAGCAACACUUACUUAAAAAGAACAUAUUCUCUUUAUUUCUGCUUGGGAUACAAAUGUUCAGUUUGGAUGAUGAGAAUGAGGCAAGUACUGGAGACAAUGGCUGGC